GGGGGAUAUUGCACAAUGGGGGAAACCCUGAUGCAGCGACGCCGCGUGGAGGAAGAAGGUCUUCGGAUUGUAAACUCCUGUUGUUGGGGAAGAUAAUGACGGUACCCAACAAGGAAGUGACGGCUAACUACGUGCCAGCAGCCGCGGUAAAACGUAGGUCACAAGCGUUGUCCGGAAUUACUGGGUGUAAAGGGAGCGCAGGCGGGAAGACAAGUUGGAAGUGAAAUCUAUGGGCUCAACCCAUAAACUGCUUUCAAAACUGUUUUUCUUGAGUAGUGCAGAGGUAGGCGGAAUUCCCGGUGUAGCGGUGGAAUGCGUAGAUAUCGGGAGGAACACCAGUGGCGAAGGCGGCCUACUGGGCACCAACUGACGCUGAGGCUCGAAAGUGUGGGUAGCAAACAGGAUUAGAUACCCUGGUAGUCCACACCGUAAACGAUGAUUACUAGGUGUUGGAGGAUUGACCCCUUCAGUGCCGCAGUUAACACAAUAAGUAAUCCACCUGGGGAGUACGACCGCAAGGUUGAAACUCAAAGGAAUUGACGGGGGCCCGCACAAGCAGUGGAGUAUGUGGUUUAAUUCGACGCAACGCGAAGAACCUUACCAAGUCUUGACAUCCCUUGACGAACAUAGAAAUAUGUUUUCUCUUCGGAGCAAGGAGACAGGUGGUGCAUGGUUGUCGUCAGCUCGUGUCGUGAGAUGUUGGGUUAAGUCCCGCAACGAGCGCAACCCUUACUGUCAGUUACUACGCAAGAGGACUCUGGCAGGACUGCCGUUGACAAAACGGAGGAAGGUGGGGAUGACGUCAAAUCAUCAUGCCCUUUAUGACUUGGGCUACACGCGUACUACAAUGGCGUUAAACAAAGAGAAGCAAGACCGCGAGGUGGAGCAAAACUCAGAAACAACGUCCCAGUUCGGACUGCAGGCUGCAACUCGCCUGCACGAAGUCGGAAUUGCUAGUAAUCGUGGAUCAGCAUGCCACGGUGAAUACGUUCCCG
rnacentral:rRNA from 1 species